ACGCUGGCGGCGUGCUUAACACAUGCAAGUCGAACGAUGAAGCCUAGCUUGCUAGGUGGAUUAGUGGCGAACGGGUGAGUAAUACGUGAGUAACCUACCUUUAACUCUGGGAUAAGCCUGGGAAACUGGGUCUAAUACCGGAUACGACCAAUCUCCGCAUGGGGUGUUGGUGGAAAGCGUUAUGUAGUGGUUAUAGAUGGGCUCACGGCCUAUCAGCUUGUUGGUGAGGUAACGGCUCACCAAGGCGACGACGGGUAGCCGGCCUGAGAGGGUGACCGGCCACACUGGGACUGAGACACGGCCCAGACUCCUACGGGAGGCAGCAGUGGGGAAUAUUGCACAAUGGGCGCAAGCCUGAUGCAGCGACGCCGCGUGAGGGAUGACGGCCUUCGGGUUGUAAACCUCUGUUAGCAGGGAAGAAGAGAAAUUGACGGUACCUGCAGAGAAAGCGCCGGCUAACUACGUGCCAGCAGCCGCGGUAAUACGUAGGGCGCGAGCGUUGUCCGGAAUUAUUGGGCGUAAAGAGCUUGUAGGCGGUUUGUCGCGUCUGCUGUGAAAGGCCGGGGCUUAACCCCGUGUAUUGCAGUGGGUACGGGCAGACUAGAGUGCAGUAGGGGAGACUGGAAUUCCUGGUGUAGCGGUGGAAUGCGCAGAUAUCAGGAGGAACACCGAUGGCGAAGGCAGGUCUCUGGGCUGUAACUGACGCUGAGAAGCGAAAGCAUGGGGAGCGAACAGGAUUAGAUACCCUGGUAGUCCAUGCCGUAAACGUUGGGCACUAGGUGUGGGGGACAUUCCACGUUUUCCGCGCCGUAGCUAACGCAUUAAGUGCCCCGCCUGGGGAGUACGGCCGCAAGGCUAAAACUCAAAGAAAUUGACGGGGGCCCGCACAAGCGGCGGAGCAUGCGGAUUAA
rnacentral:rRNA from 1 species